rnacentral:rRNA from 1 species
UACGUAGGGUGCGAGCGUUGUCCGGAAUUAUUGGGCGUAAAGAGCUUGUAGGCGGUUUGUCGCGUCUGCUGUGAAAUCUCAAGGCUCAACCUUGAGCUUGCAGUGGGUACGGGCAGACUAGAGUGUGGUAGGGGAGACUGGAAUUCCUAGUGUAGCGGUGAAAUGCGCAGAUAUUAGGAGGAACACCGGUGGCGAAGGCGCUGCUCUGGGCCGAAACUGACGCUGAGGAGCGAAAGCGUGGGUAGCAAACAGG